GAUGAACGCUGGCGGCGUGCUUAGCACAUGCAAGUCGAACGGAAAGGCUCCUGCUUGCAGGGGUACUCGAGUGGCGAACGGGUGAGUAACACGUGGGUGAUCUGCCCUGCACUUCGGGAUAAGCCUGGGAAACUGGGUCUAAUACCGGAUAGGACCACAUUUUGGAUGGUGUGGUGGAAAGUUUUUCGGUGUGGGAUGAGCUCGCGGCCUAUCAGCUUGUUGGUGGGGUAAUGGCCUACCAAGGCGUCGACGGGUAGCCGGCCUGAGAGGGUGUACGGCCACAUUGGGACUGAGAUACGGCCCAGACUCCUACGGGAGGCAGCAGUGGGGAAUAUUGCACAAUGGGCGCAAGCCUGAUGCAGCGACGCCGCGUGGGGGAUGACGGCCUUCGGGUUGUAAACUCCUUUCGCUAGGGACGAAGCGCAAGUGACGGUACCUGGAGAAGAAGCACCGGCUAACUACGUG
rnacentral:rRNA from 1 species